AAGCGCAUAUCAUGUUUGAAGCAGGCAUUGUUUUUAUAAUGCAAGCGUCCUGUGCAGCAAAGUGGUAUCAGAACAGUUGAUUUGAAACCAAAGCUCACCACUAGAGGGCAUUAGCUGCCAAUUUACCCAAGAAGGCCGAAUUCUCAGGUGCACAUCCGGAUCCAGGAAUGUGCUAACACUUGAACCUGAGAGCAGAUGAAGUAGGAAAUGAACGCAACCGAACAUGAUGGAGAGAGACGGAGAUGGAUGGAUGGAUGGUACAAGAGGUUUAAAUGGCAAUCAGAAGGGAAUAUCAAGUGGGAAGGAGAAGAAGAAAGAGGUUCACAUCGAUGUGAAGGUGCUGUUAAGUUUGGGAAGAGAAAAACGUAUGCCAACCUCCAAAAGAAAAGGGGAAAACAAUUGAAUG